CUCCAGACUCCUACGGGAGGCAGCAGUGGGGAAUAUUGCACAAUGGGGGAAACCCUGAUGCAGCGACGCCGCGUGAGCGAUGAAGUAUUUCGGUAUGUAAAGCUCUAUCAGCAGGGAAGAAGAUGACGGUACCUGACUAAGAAGCCCCGGCUAACUACGUGCCAGCAGCCGCGGUAAUACGUAGGGGGCAAGCGUUAUCCGGAUUUACUGGGUGUAAAGGGAGCGUAGACGGCGAUGCAAGCCAGAUGUGAAAGCCCGGGGCUCAACCCCGGGACUGCAUUUGGAACUGUGUGGCUGGAGUGUCGGAGAGGCAGGCGGAAUUCCUAGUGUAGCGGUGAAAUGCGUAGAUAUUAGGAGGAACACCAGUGGCGAAGGCGGCCUGCUGGACGAUGACUGACGUUGAGGCUCGAAAGCGUGGGGAGCAAACAGGAUUAGAUACCCCAGUAC
rnacentral:rRNA from 1 species